UUGCAUUUGAAGCCCAUGAGGAUGAGAACCUCCGGGGGCAGGGAGGUUCGACUCGAGCGAAGCGAGAGAACGUUGCGCCAGCAACGGCCCGCAGGGCGAGC
rnacentral:sRNA from 1 species